UACGAAGGGGGCUAGCGUUGUUCGGAAUUACUGGGCGUAAAGCGCGUGUAGGCGGGUCCUUAAGUCAGGGGGGAAAUCCCUCGGCUUAACCGGGGAACUGCAUCUGAUACUGGAUGGCUUGAGUUCGGGAGAGGGAUGCGGAAUUCCAGGUGUAGCGGUGAAAUGUGUAGAUAUCUGGAGGAACACCGGUGGCGAAGGCGGCAUCCUGGACCGGCACUGACGCUGAGGAGCGAAAGCCAGGGGAGCAAACGGG
rnacentral:rRNA from 1 species